rnacentral:tRNA from 4 species
GCCCGAGUGGCGGAAUGGCAGACGCAGCGGACUCAAAAUCCGCCGAUUGAAAGAUCGUGUGGGUUCGAGUCCCACCUCGGGCACCA